CCAGCGCCCAUUUGCAGUUCAGAGCCGGCGAGAUGCAGGAGUGUCCUUCUGUGUGAGCUCAUCUUUCCUGGGGUGGCGGGGCUCAGGGCUGAGCGGGCUGGGGAGACGAGUUGGAAAAUUUCACACUCAGCCUCGCCACUUGGCCAGCUUCUGCGUGUUUGGCAGCUCAGGUGACUUGUGGUGGGGGCCCUCGAUCAACACUUCCAUCCCGCUGAAUUCCUAGAAGACAGGAAUUUAUGGUGUGAGAGCUCCAGUCCCCGCAGACCCACUGCCAAGGUCAACAGCACGAGGCGGGCAUCCCUGCCAAGUGGGGAGUGGAGUCGUGGCUUUAGGAGUUGGUUGCAAGGAAAAACCAAAGUACGUGCAUUAAAAAAGAAAAAAAAAAAAAAGAAAUCCCUUCUCUCCCUCAAGUUCCCA
rnacentral:lncRNA from 1 species